rnacentral:rRNA from 1 species
AUUGAACGCUGGCGGCAGGCCUAACACAUGCAAGUCGAGCGAGCGGCGGACGGGUGAGUAAUGUAUGGGGACUGCCCGAUAGAGGGGGAUAACUACUGUAAACGGUGGCUAAUACCGCAUACUAUCGGAUAACCCAUAUGGGAUUCGCUAGUAUGUGGGGUAAAGACUCACCUAGGCGACGAUCUCUAGCUGGUCUGAGAGGAUGAACAGCCACACUGGGACUGAGACACGGCCCAGACUCCAACGGAGGCGGCAGUGGGGAAUAUUGCACAAUGGGAGCAAGCCUGACGCAGCCAUGCCGCGUGGAUGAAGAAGGCCUUAGGGUUGGAAAGUACUUUCAGCGGGGAGGCGUUAACCGAAGAAGAAGCACCGGCUAACUCCGUGCCAGCAGCCGCGGUAAUAC